CACCCCCCUUUUCUCCGUUCGCCGCCCCGCCCCUCGCCCAGCUCGUAACCUGCGCGCGCAAUAGGCGCGAGACCCGGCGCGUGCGCCACUUUCUGAAGCGCGGCCGUUCCGUUCCUUUUCUUCCACCCACCCCGCUGGCUUGGACGGCGGCGCGUGCGUGGUAGGAACCAACGACUCCGCGCUCGCGCGCUCUGCUCUCACCGCCUCAGGAACUCAAGGCGGCUUACAGAUAAACAAGAACAGCUACCGAGGCAAAGAGAGCAGAUCAUGGUGAGGUUGGUACGCAGACGUUCUCCACCCGCUGCAUCCAAAAGCACAUUCCAAACUGCCUCCCAGCUUCUACAUUUUGCAGGUGAAGAAACGCUCUCACACCACCUGCACAUUGGCAUGAGAGUGGGACAGUUGCUUCUUGGAAGACAAGUAUAUGCGGCAACGUAUGGCAAGAACUGAAGCUUGGAGCAGCUGCCAAGUGAAACCGCAGGGAGGAUAUGGAAGAUCUGCGCUGUUGCAGUCUGAAGCAUUACUGCAGAACCAGACAUUCGGAAGAAGACAACCAGGAAGAGGAGCUGAUAUGCUACCUGUAUGAUGCUAGAUCUGGCAGGAAAGAAG